GACGAACGCUGGCGGCGUGCCUAAUACAUGCAAGUCGAACGGUCUUUUCUAUGGAAGCUUGCUUCCACUGAGAAGAUAGCGGCGAACGGGUGAGUAACACGUGGGUAACCUGCCCAUAAGAGGGGGAUAACAUCCGGAAACGGGUGCUAAUACCGCAUAGGUUUAUUGAUCGCAUGAUCGAGAAAGGAAAGACGGCCUUUGUGCUGUCGCUUAUGGAUGGACUCGCGGCGUAUUAGUUAGUUGGUGAGGUAACGGCUCACCAAGACGAUGAUACGUAGCCGACCUGAGAGGGUGAUCGGCCACAUUGGGACUGAGACACGGCCCAAACUCCUACGGGAGGCAGCAGUAGGGAAUCUUCCGCAAUGGACGAAAGUCUGACGGAGCAACGCCGCGUGAGUGAAGAAGGUUUUCGGAUCGUAAAACUCUGUUGUCAGAGAAGAACAAGUCGGAGAGUAACUGCUCCGGCCUUGACGGUAUCUGACCAGAAAGCCACGGCUAACUACGUGCCAGCCGCCGCCGUAACAC
rnacentral:rRNA from 1 species